UACGAAGGGGGCUAGCGUUGCUCGGAAUCACUGGGCGUAAAGGGUGCGUAGGCGGGUCUUUAAGUCAGAGGUGAAAUCCUGGAGCUCAACUCCAGAACUGCCUUUGAUACUGGCAAUCUCGAGUCCGGGAGAGGUGAGUGGAACUGCGAGUGUAGAGGUGAAAUUCGUAGAUAUUCGCAAGAACACCAGUGGCGAAGGCGGCUCACUGGCCCGGUACUGACGCUGAGGUGCGAAAGCGUGGGGAGCAAACAGG
rnacentral:rRNA from 1 species